UACAGAGGUCCCAAGCGUUGUUCGGAUUCACUGGGCGUAAAGGGUGCGUAGGCGGUCGGGUAAGUCUGAUGUGAAAUCUCACAGCUUAACUGUGAAACUGCAUUGGAUACUAUCCGGCUCGAGGAAUGGAGGGGAGACUGGAAUACUUGGUGUAGCAGUGAAAUGCGUAGAUAUCAAGUGGAACACCAGUGGCGAAAGCGAGUCUCUGGACAUUUCCUGACGCUGAGGCACGAAAGCCAGGGGAUCAAACGGG
rnacentral:rRNA from 1 species